UCGGCAUGGGGGGCACCCUGACCGAGCACGCCGCGUGAGUGAAGAAGGUUUUCGGAUCGUAAAGCUCUGUUGUAAGAGAAGAACGUGUGUGAGAGUGGAAAGUUCACACAGUGACGGUAACUUACCAGAAAGGGACGGCUAACUACGUGCCAGCAGCCGCGGUAAUACGUAGGUCCCGAGCGUUGUCCGGAUUUAUUGGGCGUAAAGCGAGCGCAGGCGGUUUAAUAAGUCUGAAGUUAAAGGCAGUGGCUUAACCAUUGUUCGCUUUGGAAACUGUUAGACUUGAGUGCAGAAGGGGAGAGUGGAAUUCCAUGUGUAGCGGUGAAAUGCGUAGAUAUAUGGAGGAACACCGGUGGCGAAAGCGGCUCUCUGGUCUGUAACUGACGCUGAGGCUCGAAAGCGUGGGGAGCAAACAGGAUUAGAUACCCUGGUAGUCCACGCCGUAAACGAUGAGUGCUAGGUGUUAGGCCCUUUCCGGGGCUUAGUGCCGCAGCUAACGCAUUAAGCACUCCGCCUGGGGAGUACGACCGCAAGGUUGAAACUCAAGAAAUU
rnacentral:rRNA from 1 species